GACGAACGCUGGCGGCGUGCUUAACACAUGCAAGUCGAACGGAAAGGCCCUGCUUUUGUGGGGUGCUCGAGUGGCGAACGGGUGAGUAGCACGUGAGUAACCUGCCCUUGACUUUGGGAUAACUUCAGGAAACUGGGGCUAAUACCGGAUAGGAGCUCCUGCUGCAUGGUGGGGGUUGGAAAGUUUCGGCGGUUGGGGAUGGACUCGCGGCUUAUCAGCUUGUUGGUGGGGUAGUGGCUUACCAAGGCUUUGACGGGUAGCCGGCCUGAGAGGGUGACCGGCCACAUUGGGACUGAGAUACGGACCAGACUCCUACGGGAGGCAGCAGUGGGGAAUAUUGCACAAUGGGCGGAAGCCUGAUGCAGCAACGCCGCGUGCGGGAUGACGGCCUUCGGGUUGUAAACCGCUUUCGCAUGUGACGAAGCGUGAGUGACGGUAAUGGGUAAAGAAGCACCGGCUAACUACGUG
rnacentral:rRNA from 1 species